rnacentral:rRNA from 1 species
UGGGGAAUUUUGGACAAUGGGCGAAAGCCUGAUCCAGCAAUGCCGCGUGUGUGAAGAAGGCCUUCGGGUUGUAAAGCACUUUUUGUCCGGAAAGAAAUCCUUGGCUCUAAUACAGUCGGGGGAUGACGGUACCGGAAGAAUAAGCACCGGCUAACUACGUGCCAGCAGCCGCGGUAAUACGUAGGGUGCAAGCGUUAAUCGGAAUUACUGGGCGUAAAGCGUGCGCAGGCGGUUUGCUAAGACCGAUGUGAAAUCCCCGGGCUCAACCUGGGAACUGCAUUGGUGACUGGCAGGCUAGAGUAUGGCAGAGGGGGGUAGAAUUCCACGUGUAGCAGUGAAAUGCGUAGAGAUGUGGAGGAAUACCGAUGGCGAAGGCAGCCCCCUGGGCCAAUACUGACGCUCAUGCACGAAAAGCGUGGGGAGCAAACAGGAUUAGAUACCCCUGGUAGUCCACGCCCUAAACGAUGUCAACUAGUUGUUGGGGAUUCAUUUCCUUAGUAACGUAGCUAACGCGUGAAGUUGACCGCCUGGGGAGUACGGUCGCAAGAUUAAAACUCAAAUGAAUUGACGGGGUCAUAGCU